GACGAACGCUGGCGGCGUGCCUAAUACAUGCAAGUCGAGCGGACUGAUUAAGAGCUUGCUCUUAUGACGUUAGCGGCGGACGGGUGAGUAACACGUGGGCAACCUGCCCUGUAGAUCGGGAUAACACCGAGAAAUCGGUGCUAAUACCGGGUAAUAUCUGAGAUCACAUGAUCUUAGGUUAAAAGAUGGCUCCGGCUAUCACUACAGGAUGGGCCCGCGGCGCAUUAGCUAGUUGGUAAGGUAAUGGCUUACCAAGGCGACGAUGCGUAGCCGACCUGAGAGGGUGAUCGGCCACACUGGGACUGAGACACGGCCCAGACUCCUACGGGAGGCAGCAGUAGGGGAUCUUCCGCAAUGGACGAAAGUCUGACGGAGCAACGCCGCGUGAGUGAUGAAGGGUUUCGGCUCGUAAAGCUCUGUUGUUAGGGAAGAAACAGUACCGAACGAACUAGGUCGGUACCUUGACGGUACCUAACCAGAAAGCCACGGCUAACUACGUG
rnacentral:rRNA from 1 species